rnacentral:RNase_P_RNA from 1 species
AGAGUCGCCCGGAUCACCGCGUUACCGCAAGGUACCGAGGAAAGUCCGGACUCCAAAGAGCAAAGUGGUGGGUAACGCCCACCCGGAGCAAUCCGCGGGAUUAGUGCAACAGAAAGUAAACCGCCAACAGCAAUGUUGGUAAGGGUGAAACGGCGGUGUAAGAGACCACCAGUAACUGCAGCAAUGCAGUUAGCUAUGUAAACCCCACUUGGAGCAAGACCAUGCAGUUGGCGCUUGAGAGCUGCU